UACGGGGUGCAGCAGGCGCGAAAACUUUACAAUGCUGGCAACAGCGAUAAGGGAACCUCGAGUGCCAGGUUACAAAUCUGGCUGUCGAGAUGCCUAAAAAGCAUUUCAUAGCAAGGGCCGGGCAAGACCGGUGCCAGCCGCCGCGGUAACACCGGCGGCUCGAGUGGUAACCGUUAUUAUUGGGUCUAAAGGGUCUGUAGCCGGCCGGAUAAGUCUCUUGAGAAAUCUGGCAGCUUAACUGUCAGGCUUUCAGGAGAUACUGUCUGGCUCGAGGCCGGGAGAGGUGAGAGGUACUUCAGGGGUAGGGGUGAAAUCUUGUAAUCCUUGAAGGACCACCAGUGGCGAAGGCGUCUCACCAGAACGGACCUGACGGCAAGGGACGAAAGCUAGGGGCACGAACCGGAUUAGAUACCCGGGUAGUCCUAGCCGUAAACGAUACUCGCUAGGUGUCGGCCACGGUGCGACCGUUGUCGGUGCCGUAGGGAAGCCGUGAAGCGAGCC
rnacentral:rRNA from 1 species